AGGCUCUCUCCUCUCAGUAGCAUGGUCCUACACAGCCAACAGCAUUCUCCUAACUCUGUCCCCAGAUCCCAAACUUUCAGAGUGCUGUCUCUGCUGAUGCUGUGGAAUGUCUGUGAGAGCAAUUUCUAAUCAAGACCCACACAGUGAAAAUCUAUACAAUGGAUUUUGGACUCACGCAACCAUCAAUCUAACUUCAUGAAAACAAAGGUUACCCAAAGCAGGAAAAUGAGAGGAAGAACUAUGAGUGAAGAAAUAAACACGUUGAAGCUGUAAACUUCCAAACCAAAAGCAUGAUUUUGUCUUUCCAACCUGCAGCUUAGUGAAUGGUUUCCUUGCCCCAUUCAGUGAUGAAUCCUUAGCAGAUAUACUGGCUCUCUUGUACCAACUUGGACUACUUGAGAGGAGAAAGAACCUUUGAAAGUAUCUCUUCUGAUGAAGCAAACAAGGAUGGAUCUUCAGGAAACCAGUCUUUUGUGAUGCGAUUCAGGAGAUUCAGCACGAGAGUAAAACUUUGACACUCAAACUUGCAGCCCACUUUGAUCCAGUAAUACGGAAAAGAAUCAGUUUGAAAAUUCAGAGAAAAAAGAUAAGUACUUUUUUUUUGAAUAUCUUUUUUCUACAUUAAGUAUUUUUAAUUGCAUUACAUUAAUCAUUUUUCUGAUAGUAAAUGUUUCUAGGAGUGCUGAUUAUCCAUCAUUCUUCAGUUUGUACUGAAUUCAAUUUAAGAAGUUGUGGAGGCUGUUGGAUUAUUCAAUAUAGUCUGAAAAAUGCUGCUGUUUUAUUCUGAUUCAUGCAAUAUACAAUUGAUCAUCCCUCUAUAAGAAAUGAAUUUUCCAUAAUGCUUUUUUAUUCUCUUUUCAGUGUGCUCAACAUAUUCUUGAGAAAUCUAAUAUUUCAUGGCAAAAUAAUUAUUUACAUCACAGAAAUAUGCAUUUUUCAUUAGCUGUAGAAGAACAAAACAUAUGACAACUAUUAAAAAUAAUAUACUUUUGGCUGGGUGCAGUGGCUCACACCUGUAAUC
rnacentral:lncRNA from 1 species